rnacentral:rRNA from 1 species
AAUCCUGGCUCAGGAUGAACGCUAGCUACAGGCUUAACACAUGCAAGUCGAGGGGCAGCAUGGUCUUAGCUUGCUAAGGCUGAUGGCGACCGGCGCACGGGUGAGUAACACGUAUCCAACCUGCCGUCUACUCUUGGCCAGCCUUCUGAAAGGAAGAUUAAUCCAGGAUGGGAUCAUGAGUUCACAUGUCCGCAUGAUUAAAGGUAUUUUCCGGUAGACGAUGGGGAUGUCG